rnacentral:rRNA from 1 species
CGAGUGCCCCGAGCGUUAUCCGGAAUCAUUGGGCGUAAAGGGUGUGUAGGUGGCAGUGUUAGUCACAUGUUAAAGCCUGGGGCUCAACCCCAGAAGUGCGUGUGAUACGGCACAGCUAGAGGAUGCGAGGGAUGUAUGGAACUCAUGGAGUAGGGGUGAAAUCCGUUGAUAUCAUGGGGAACACCAAAAGCGAAGGCAGUACAUUGGCGCACUCCUGACACUGAAACACGAAAGCGUGGGUAGCGAAUGGGAUUAGAUACCCCAGUAGUCCACGCCCUAAACGAUGACAACUAGCUUUUCGGAGAAUCGACCCUCUGAGAGGCGAAGCUAACGCGUUAAGUUGUCCGCCUGGGUAGUACGACCGCAAGGUUA